UACCCUAGAACCUGGCUUAGGACAGUCACAAUGGGCCUCGGAACCUUCUUCCCCUCCAUCUCCUCUGCAUAUUGGCCUUUUGCUUAUUCCAGUUUUGCUCUCCAGCCCUUCCCUGAUUCCCAAGUCUGGUUCUUUAAGUUAACUGAGAAUGUGUUCUGUUACAAAUUCAGAAGUCUCUCCCCUAGUCCUUCUGGCCUGUUUGCCUGCUCUGCCUUUCCCCUUUUCUCUUCUGUUGGGACCUGGAGAUCUUCUGACAGAGCCCUGUGAGCUGAGCAGCUCCAGCAGUUGGAUCUCCAUGAAUUACCAAGGGAUGUAAAGACUUAGAAGAGAGUUACAAGAGGAAAUGUAAAACCAUCCAUUUUUACCAAAAUUAAAUGUGCAAAAGGCUACAUA
rnacentral:lncRNA from 1 species